rnacentral:rRNA from 1 species
AUGCUGUUGAAGAAGCAAGUUGAAAGCUCACUCUUGUCACUUGUUACUGGAUGUAUUAUGUGUUAUCUCAGGAGAACUGAUCAUUCCUUACUACUGACAUAUUAUGUACUAUUGCAUAGAAUUGCUCAGCUAAUCAAAUUUAGUCUAUGGAUAAUCUACUGCAUAACCCUUUUGGAGUGCACAGUUACAUUUCAAACCAUGAAAUGCAGCAUACAACUUCAACAUUCAGAUCCUCUCCGGGCCCUUGUGGCAAGUGUUGUACGCUGCUGGCAUGCAUUGUGUGGAGAGCAAAGGAGGGAAAAUGUGAUGGGAGAUGGCUGGGUGCGGAUCGGGCUCGAUGUUCAGUUCCUCUCUGCAAUAAAGGCAUCAGCGGCGCAACCACCGCCUUUCCAAAUGUUUCACUUCUCUGAAUGUUUCAAGUUUGUUAGUAUGAAGCACCAUCGGCACUUAAAGAAAAUGCUAUAUAUCAUCUAA